rnacentral:rRNA from 1 species
GUGGGGAAUAUUGGACAAUGGGCGCAAGCCUGAUCCAGCCAUGCCGCGUGAGUGAUGAAGGCCUUAGGGUUGUAAAGCUCUUUCAGUGGGGACGAUAAUGACGGUACCCACAGAAGAAGCCCCGGCUAACUUCGUGCCAGCAGCCGCGGUAAUACGAAGGGGGCUAGCGUUAUUCGGAUUUACUGGGCGUAAAGCGCACGUAGGCGGAUCGUUAAGUCGGGGGUGAAAUCCUGGAGCUCAACUCCAGAACUGCCUUCGAUACUGGCGAUCUUGAGUCCGGAAGAGGUGAGUGGAACUCCUAGUGUAGAGGUGGAAUUCGUAUAUAUUAGGAAGAACACCAGUGGCGAAGGCGGCUCACUGGUCCGGUACUGACGCUGAGGUGCGAAAGCGUGGGGAGCAAACAGGAUUAGAAACCCGGGUAGUCC